AUGUUAACCGUACAAAUGUUUGUUUAUUAUUACAUGGCUUUUUCGCUUCAUGGAUAAAUUACUUUUGUUUGUUGGCUGUACUUCUAUAUCAGAGUCCAACUCUACCUUUUCACAUUGUACGGUUAUUCAAAUGUAAAAAAUAAUAAUAAUAAUAUAUAUAUUUUUUAAUGUCCCCGCUGGAGAAACCGUGCAGCAGCUUGUAUGCUAGAUGAUUUAAGGUGACGAUGGAGGAGCAGAGUGAGGACCAGGUUGGGGGAGGAAUGUCUGUGAAAGAGGAAGAGGUGGAAAAAGACAACCUGACAGAUGAAGCUCUUGCCGCAGAUGAAGAGGACGACGAGGCUCUUCCUCACUCAGAGAUCCUGGACAUUUUCGAGGAAGGACUUGCAAGACUUGUGCAGGACCCUUUACUUUGUGAUCUGCCCAUCCAGGUGACUCUGGAAGAGGUCAAUUCUCAGAUUGCGUUGGAGUAUGGUCAGGCUAUGACUGUGAGGGUUUUCAAGGCAGAUGGAGAAAUAAUGCCCAUCGUGGUGGUGCAGAAUGCCACUGUCCUGGACCUGAAGAAGGCAAUUCGCAGAUUCAUGGAGCUGAAACAACAACGUGAGGGCGGAGUGAAACAUGUCAGCUGGCGGUAUGUCUGGAGAACGUUUAGUUUGGUAUUUCAAGGAGAAAAGCUUGAAGAUGACAAGAUGAGGCUGAAAGACUACGGCAUCAGGAACAGAGAUGAAGUGACGUUCAUGAAGAGACUCCGGAAAAAGUGAGAAGUCACAGCUGACAUUUGUCCAGCAGGAAGAAGAAAAAAAAAAAAAAAACAUUCAGAAAGUUCUCCUGAUGUUUGCUGAACCCCAAAUGUGUACCCAGAAACUCUCUUAACAAACUGAGCAGUCUAUCAGAAAGGCUUCAUGUAUAUACAAUAUGUCGAUGUUUAUUUGGCUGCAACUGAACAGUGAUUUUUGUUUUUGAACUCUACUCAAAUAUUAAAACUUUGUACAUUUCUAAAAAUCUAUUUCUAUGUGCACUUUUACUUUGAGCUUCCAACGACAGUGCCGUGCCACUUUUUCCAGACGGCUGAGUUGUAAACCAGAUGAUUUGAAUACUUCCUGGUAUAAGUCAGCAUUAUAAGUUUUUGUUGAUCUACUUUGAAUGUUAGCUGUUCAGGAUACAUUUGGAGCCAGCUGAGGGAACAAGCAUCAACGAUGACUUCUCCCGACUGCCAGCUGAAGGAGAUUUCUACCGAGUUGAACCUUAAUUCCCUAAAGACACAGCAACUCCUGGAGAGGAAAAAAAUCCUCAGUUUAUUUCUGGAGUUGAGGAAUCGUGCUGAGUUUCACCAAACAGAGGAGUCGGCAUCAAAUCAGAAGGAGAUUAUCGACAUUGAUGAAAAAGUGAACCAACUGGCAGAAAGGAAGGCUGAACUCCAAAAAAGACUGGAAAACAUACACAAUGGCAGAGAACACACUGACGAGAAGAAAGAGGUUAGCUCCCCCUCCGGUCCAAAGAUGGUUUCUGGUGAACUUUCUGCUUCCCCAAAUAUUUUCUACAUUGAGGCUCCGCCUAAUAUUCCAGCCCCUAAAGUGUACCUGGACUUGGAGAACCUUCCUCCGUGUCCAUGCAGGACUCAGUGUCCAGAGUGUCAGCAGUUUGUUGUAUCAGAGACGUUCACCUCUGUCAGCAGUGUGACCUGGCUGAUGUGUUGCAUGAUAGCUAUGGUUGGCUGCGUGGCCGGUUGCUGCCUCAUUCCCUUCUGCAACAAAAAGUUCAAAACCAUCGUACACAGAUGUCCUUUGUGUCGAACAAAAAUCCAAAGAAUACAAAGGCUCUGAGAGGAAAGCUGCAGGAGAGUUCUUGAAGCUCACUAAGGGGCAGAAAAUGAAUUUUUGUUGUGUAUAUUUGUAUUUGAGUUGCUCAACGUGAAUAUGGUAAAGUGAUAUCACCGUGUUUGUCACUGCGUCAUUCAUGAUGGAAAGAACCUGCAUAAAUUCCAUUUUUGGAGUUUUUUCCAGGACAUCAACCAAUAUCUCCUCUCACAAGAAAUGACAUUGUAUUUGAUAUUUCAUAAAGGACAGCAAACAUGACUUGAUAAUGAACAAUCUGAUUGCCCAAAGACACUUCAACAUCUGACUGCAGGACCUUGGGAUCAAACCCCCAACCUUCUAUGUACUUCACAUGGGAGAUAGAUAAGCUUUAACUAUGCAUGACCUUUUUCUUUGCUACUGUUAUCUUUGUUGAUAUGUGUUGGAAUGACUCUCAGAGGCAUUGGUAUUUAUUUUUUAAGAUGAAUCUAGCAUUUUUUAGUCAGCAUAGGUGUGUUUCUGCGUUUAUUAGAAUAGGAGCACAUAAUGGGUCCAUUUCAUUUGCUAUUCGUACAACAUAUUUGAUGGAAGUGAAAAUAACAGCUGCUUGAGGUGGAAAAUAGCUGCGGGUAUAAAACCUCAACUGUGAGGUAAUGGUUGUACAUGGUGAGUUAAAUUGGAGUCAAAUUCCUUGCAUGUAUGUGUACACAUACCUGACCAAUAAAUAUGAUGCUGAUUCUGA